rnacentral:tRNA from 1 species
GACCGUCUAGAAUAAUCGGUAGGGCGCAAGGCUCUUAACCUUGUGGUCUUGGGUUCGAGCCCCAAGGUGGGCG